GAUGAACGCUAGCUACAGGCUUAACACAUGCAGGUCGAGGGGUAGCAGGGUAGCAAUACCGCUGACGACCGGCGCACGGGUGAGUAACACGUAUCCAACCUUCCCAUAACUCGGGGAUAGCCUUUCGAAAGAAAGAUUAAUACCCGAUAGUACUUUUUCAAGGCAUCUUGAGAAAGUUAAAGAUUUAUUGGUUAUGGAUGGGGAUGCGUUCCAUUAGAUAGUUGGUGAGGUAACGGCUCACCAAGUCUUCGAUGGAUAGGGGUUCUGAGAGGAAGGUCCCCCACUUUGGUACUGGGACACGGACCAAACGCCUACGGGAGGCAGCAGUGAGGAAUAUUGGUCAAUGGGCGAGAGCCUGAACCAGCCAAGUAGCGUGAAGGAUGAAGGUCCUAUGGAUUGUAAACUUCUUUUAUAGUAGAAUAAAGUGAUCCACGUGUGGAUUUUUGUAUGUAUACUAUGAAUAAGGAUCGGCUAACUCCGUGCCAGCCGCCGCAGUAAAAC
rnacentral:rRNA from 1 species